GCCCCCAUAGCUCAGGGGAUAGAGCACCGGCCUCCGGAGCCGGGUGCGGAGGUUCGAAUCCUCCUGGGGGCA
rnacentral:tRNA from 2 species